rnacentral:tRNA from 1 species
AAUAGUGUAUAGAUAAGCUGCUAACUUAUUUAUAGCGGAAGCUGCAUGAAUAUGUGCUUUAAAAUAGCGGCUUAAUUU